rnacentral:rRNA from 1 species
GAUGAACGCUGGCGGCGUGCCUAAUACAUGCAAGUCGAGCGAACGGACGAGAAGCUUGCUUCUCUGAUGUUAGCGGCGGACGGGUGAGUAACACGUGGAUAACCUACCUAUAAGACUGGGAUAACUUCGGGAAACCGGAGCUAAUACCGGAUAAUAUUUUGAACCGCAUGGUUCAAAAGUGAAAGACGGCCUUGCUGUCACUUAUAGAUGGAUCCGCGCUGCAUUAGCUAGUUGGUAAGGUAACGUCUUACCAAGGCAACGAUGCAUAGCCGACCUGAGAGGGUGAUCGGCCACACUGGAACUGAGACACGGUCCAGACUCCUACGGGAGGCAGCAGUAGGGAAUCUUCCGCAAUGGGCGAAAGCCUGACGGAGCAACGCCGCGUGAGUGAUGAAGGUCUUCGGAUCGUAAAACUCUGUUAUUAGGGAAGAACAUAUGUGUAAGUAACUGUGCACAUCUUGACGGUACCUAAUCAGAAAGCCACGGCUAACUACGUG